GAAAGGAACUUGGAGAAUAUCUCAUUUAAUAUCAUUUUACAACUCACCAAACUGAGGUCCAGAGAGUAAAAAUGUCAUCCAAAAUUAAAGAUUGAAAAAUGCUAUUUGUCAGAGAGUGAGUCUCUGUUCUUGCUGUGGAGGCCAGAAAGAAAAAAAAAAGAAGACUGUGAAGCAACAAUCAGGAUAAAGGAGGACUUAUCAGCUUCCACACUAAAUGAUCAAAAGCCUCUACCACAAUGCCUACUAUGUGCCAGACACUGGUGGGAAUACAAAGGCUAUGAAGAUAUAGAAGGGAAAAAAGCAUGCCAUGAGAGCUUGGAUUUUUCUAAUAGACAAUUCUACAUAUAAGUAGGUAUUAUAAAACAAGAAAAAGAAUAGAACUCUAACAACUAAAAGCAAUCAAGAAGUUUUAUUGUUUUGACAAUAAAUAAAUAAAGUUUUUCUUUCCUAUUUGGCA
rnacentral:lncRNA from 1 species